ensembl:lncRNA
CUGCUUCAUUCUGCAUUCCAAGGCCAAAUAUGCCUGUUACUCCAGGUGUUUCUUUUUCACUCAUAUUAUUCAAUUUUUAAUCAGUAAGGACCUACUGUAUAGCAUAGAGAAUGAUGCUCAAUAUUCUAUAAUAACCUAAAUGGUAAAGAAGAAGUGGUGCAUAAAUGCAAUGGAACAGUACUCAGCCAUUAAGAAGAAUGAAAUAAUGCCGUUUUCAAAAACAUGGAUGGACCCACAGAUUGUCACACUGAGUAAAUGUCUCCAAGUUGAAAGGGACUUCAGGUAAAGAUCCCAGUGCCUGAGGACCCAGCAGCUCCUGUUUGCCUGAAAUGUCAUGCUGGAGGCAGCAUUUAAUUCAGAUGAGAAGUGACACCCACAUCCUGAUGCCUCAGCUGCCAGCAAAGGGCCAGUGACAACUUCCAUUACACAGAAGGGUCAGAGUGAUUCCCUGCAAGCAGUCAAGAUGGGCAGAGUCAUGAAAUCUGAAGAUGCCUGAGAUGAUUCCAAAGUGCUGGUUUUGUCCACGCUCUUCCCUUCUCAAGUAUCCUGCAUCCUAGUCCCUG